rnacentral:rRNA from 1 species
UCCAGACUCCUACGGGAGGCAGCAGUGGGGAAUAUUGCACAAUGGGGGAAACCCUGAUGCAGCGACGCCGCGUGAGCGAAGAAGUAUUUCGGUAUGUAAAGCUCUAUCAGCAGGGAAGAAAAAAAUGACGGUACCUGAGUAAGAAGCACCGGCUAAAUACGUGCCAGCAGCCGCGGUAAUACGUAUGGUGCAAGCGUUAUCCGGAUUUACUGGGUGUAAAGGGAGCGUAGACGGCCAGGCAAGCCUGGAGUGAAAGCCCGGGGCCCAACCUCGGGACUGCUCUGGGAACUGUCCGGCUGGAGUGCGGGAGGGGCAGGCGGAAUUCCUGGUGUAGCGGUGAAAUGCGUAGAUAUCAGGAGGAACACCAGUGGCGAAGGCGGCUUACUGGACAGUAACUGACGUUGAGGCUCGAAAGCGUGGGGAGCAAACAGGAUUAGAUACCCCUGUA